GCCGUGCGUCGCCCGCAUCCCUGUGCCGGGCGAGCGGCGGGGCCCGUCGGCUGAGCAGUAAAACCCGGCGCUGCUGAGGGGAGACCGCGCUCAGGCUGAGGAAAUUAGCUCAAAGGCAGUUUGAGAGCUGGUUGCUUUGGUGGGUCAGCCACAUCCCUGCUGUUUGUGCAGGUACUGAAUCCCCUCAACAUUACUAACCCUGCAAAGGAUAUCUAGCUGUUGUCCUACUCAGCUUCCUGACUCAGCUUUUGGCAUAACGGAGGAAGUGAGACUGUGUCAGACUUGAUUCAAAGUCAUUUAAGCUGUUGUCAAACUGCUUUCAAAACUGCUAAUUUUCAGCCAGUUCCCUGGUCCAGCUCCCACUGAGGAACCUGCAGCACUAGUUAAAAGCUCAUGGCCACUGAAGUAUAACUGUAAUGGAUGUGAGUGGUUUUGCUUCUCAUAUCUCAAAAUCCAUCUUUAUAUCUUAAGAUAAAUGUCUCCCCUAUAUUUUUUUUACCUACAGACAAAGCAAUUUCGCUUCCUUUCAAUCCUUCCUGGUGUGGCACAGGUUUAAACCUAUUAAGAUGCUUAUGUUUUCUCCUUGUGUUGUCUCAAAAUCAUUCACAUAUUUAUUUUUUUUUAACAGUAGUGCCCAAGACUGGACAUUACUAAAAUUAAGGCCUCAGCAAGGCCAGCAUCUGCUGUCCUGCCUGUCACAGACCCCACUCCUGUUCACACCUGCCAAUACAAAUGCUUUUGAGUCAGUCUGAUCUAUUCACAAUCCUGCUGACCUGUUUUACCCCCGCAUCCAUUUCUGCUGACCUCCCAAGCCAGGUAUUUCUCCCUCAAGUAGACAGUAAUGCUGCUUGAGAAAUUAUUUCCUGCCUAAUGCCAUGCCUUCAUUUUUAUUUUAUAAUCAAGCAGUCAGGACAUCUUUUAAGAUGAAAUUCCAUGUGAUGUUAAGUCAGAGAACUGUAGAAUUUGUCAUCCUCUGUAAAUCGAUUGCACUUCUCAGAAGGAUUGUAUUUAAAAAAGCAAAACUAAGAUUGAACUGUGCCACAGUUACAGAAGGGUUGUGUAACUCUAAGUUUAGAAGAGUUAUUUGUAUGCAUUUGUAGACAUUUAAAACUUUAAAUUUUCUUAAACUAAACCAGCUAAAAUAGUCUAAAUGCAAACAAGGGUGGAUAACAACAUGGGUUGGAGUUAUACCAAUAUAAGGUAAAAUAUGGCAAAACCAGUGCAAUGUCCCAUUAGUGAGGGACAGAACCUGCAUUUGUGUGUGUUGUGCUGUUCCAUGUGCUUAAUUCUGUUAAUUCAGAAUUCCUCAGUUCUGCUCACUGUCCUGUGUGCUGCUUUUGAUGGGAGCAGUGCAGUGAGCAGCUCAUACAGCUACUGGCAACACACUCUGCAGAAGGGAGGUUCUAGCACAUCCUGAUGGCUACACUGGCACUUCAGGUGCAGUUGAGCAAGUCAUUUUACAUGAUUGUACUUCAGUUUUCCUAGUAUGGGAUUAAUCCAUCUUUCUAAAACAUCAAUUAUCUAAAACUGAAGCCUGUGAUGGGGGCAUCUAUUAAAAUAACUGCCAUAGAAGGGAUAAAAAUUAACAGUGCUGUCCAAGUGCACUGUCCAGUGCACACAGAUGUUUUUACUCUUCAUUCUUUGUAUAAUAACUACAGAAUUAGUUCUACAGUACAGCUGAACAAGCUGGUAAAUAAUGCAUUCAGCUAAUUCAUUUCUUAGAUGGUCCAUGUAGUCUGGUUGGUCCAUUUUGGCUGUGUAAAGCAUUUUUAUGAUGUGUUUUAUAUCAGGUGAUGUUUGGACAGUAACAAUUCAAGGAAAAAAUACAGGCUUUAUCAGGGAAUAAACAAAUCUUACCUUUUCUUUAUCAUGUGGCCAUCAGAUUUUAUGCAGUGGGCUUCCCAUUUAUUUCCUGGUCGCUUUCUUUUUUCUGCUUUAAUCUGUGAAGUCCUCAUCUGUGAUGAGAUUUCAGAGCACAACAUAAGACAUGAAUGUAAGACUGCUGAUGUUUUAAAGGGGUACUGUUACUUUUCCUUCUCCUAUUCUCUGUUUAGCCUGUAUUUUGUAAAAAUUGCUGCUUUGAAAAUGAUGAUGUGAAUCCCAAGCAGAGAUGGAGAAGAACUGAGUUCUGCAGGUGUUUUACAUAGAUGUGUAUCUGUGUAUGCUUAUGUAUGUGUUUGUAUAAAUACAUGUAAUACCAAUUUGCAAGAAUAAAAAUUAACUUUCCUCAGAUAAAA